GCUUUCCAUGCAGUCGAGCGGCAGCGCGGGGCAACCUGGCGGCGAGCGGCGAACGGGUGAGUAACACAUCGGAACGUACCCAGUUGUGGGGGAUAGCCCGGCGAAAGCCGGAUUAAUACCGCAUACGACCUGAGGGUGAAAGUGGGGGAUCGCAAGACCUCACGCAGUUGGAGCGGCCGAUGGCGGAUUAGCUAGUUGGUAGGGUAAAGGCCUACCAAGGCGACGAUCCGUAGCGGGUCUGAGAGGACGACCCGCCACACUGGAACUGAGACACGGUCCAGACUCCUACGGGAGGCAGCAGUGGGGAAUUUUGGACAAUGGGGGCAACCCUGAUCCAGCCAUUCCGCGUGAGUGAAGAAGGCCUUCGGGUUGUAAAGCUCUUUCGGCAGGAACGAAACGGUCUUUUCUAAUACAAGAGGCUAAUGACGGUACCUGAAGAAGAAGCACCGGCUAACUACGUGCCAGCAGCCGCGGUAAUACGUAGGGUGCGAGCGUUAAUCGGAAUUACUGGGCGUAAAGCGUGCGCAGGCGGUUCUAUAAGACAGAUGUGAAAUCCCCGGGCUUAACCUGGGAACUGCGUUUGUGACUGUAGGACUUGAGUGUGGCAGAGGGGGUAGAAUUUCCACGUGUAGCAGUGAAAUGCGUAGAGAUGUGGAGGAAUACCGAUGGCGAAGGCAGCCCCCUGGGUCAACACUGACGCUCAUG
rnacentral:rRNA from 1 species